AUGACAUGCAGCAUUUUUUCCUUCUCACCUAACGAUAAACAUUUGCGUUUUGAUCCAGAAAUGUCUACAGCCCAGUCAGCUGCCCGUGAUUUGCAUCACGUUCAUGCGCUCGAGUUUGGAGACGACCAGAAGGCGCCAAAGCGUAUCUUUAGUUUGCAGGUGUACAAUGAAAUUAAACUGGACGUGGAUGCAGGUCAUGAAUUCAUAUCAGCAAGAUAUUGGGUACAUGCCGCGUGGUCACAGGGUUCAGCAGAGGAAACCAAAGGAAGGCGGGAGCUGCUUGUCUGGGGAAGAGAGAAUUCCUGUACGGCAGAUAUUAAUUCCUGUAUAUGAUUCCUGUAUGUCUCAGUUGGUAGAGCAUGGCGCUUGCACUGCCACGGUUUUGGGUUUGAUUCCCAGGGCCACCAAUAUGUAAAAUGUAUGCACACAUGCACUGUGUAGGCAUAUACAGUAUAAUGCAUAUUAUUAUAUAUUCAUUCCAAUGACAGCUUGAUAGACUCCAGACCAAAGAGAACAGACAGUAGAUUUGCACUUGGAACUUUUACCUUGGCUUUAGAAUGGCUUUCGAAGCGCUGUACAUCUUCAACAGUUCAGAUUAGAAUGAGAUUGAACAAUGGCCAUUAUUUCUGGUAUUCUGCACACCAUAUGUUUUUACUAUCAUGAGAUGACUUUAGACUCCGAGUCAGGGGUGUCAGAUGUAACCACAAGUUCCUGAGUGCGAGUGACUCUAGGUAUGCAGUAGGGGCUCCUGAGUGGCGCAGCAGUCCAAGGCACUGCAUCUCAGUGCAAGAGGUGUCAGGUGAGGUGAAUCCAGGCUGAAUCACAUCUGGCUGUGAUUGGGAGUCCCAUAGGGUGGUGCACAAUUGGCCGGGGUAGGCUGUUAUUGUAAAUAAGAAUUAGUUCUUAACUGACUUGCCUAGUUAAAUAACAUUAAAAAAAUGCAUUACCAAUUUGGUGUCUCACCAGAAAAUGCUUAGUAAUUGGAAUGGAAAGCCCCUACUGUAUAAGGCCUUUAUAUAACUGGAGUUAUAUAUCACUGGAGUUUCUUGGAAUGUGAAAUCGCUCCUUCUUUACAGUAAUGGUUCCAGCAGCAGUCUAAAUCUAUGUGGUAAUUUUAUGUAUAUGGUUGCCAUGUACCUCAAUGAGGGUACAGCUUGGUGUUUGACAGAGUAUAUUACUUGCCACUCUGGUGUCGUUUGAUACCUCCUGGUGACUGCACCUCCUGCAUGUCCUCAAAUGACAUGCAUAGGAUACUAGGCCCUCUUAAGGCCAGGAAACUCUGUACAUAAGAACGAGAGAGGGCAGCAUCAGGCAGACAAGCAGCCUGCCCGCCUCAAUGCCAGCUGUGUUCUUUCUCAUACUUACACCCUUCACACCUCACCCUAUGUGACUCCCCGGCCUGGAAUUUCACCCGCAGUUGAACCUUGUUACCCUCUACUUGAACCAUCCAUCAACGACUAGUUUAAAACGCAUCUCUGUCAUAUGGAUGACAUAUCAGUCAUGUAGGAUGCCAUCUAAUCUGACUUUACUUUUUGACAACUGGUAUAACUA
ensembl:lncRNA